rnacentral:rRNA from 1 species
CGGAGCCUACGGGGGGCAGCAGUGGGGAAUAUUGCACAAUGGGCGAAAGCCUGAUGCAGCAACGCCGCGUGAGCGAUGAAGGCCUUCGGGUCGUAAAGCUCUGUCCUCAAGGAAGAUAAUGACGGUACUUGAGGAGGAAGCCCUGGCUAACUACGUGCCAGCAGCCGCGGCAAUACGUAGGGGGCUAGCGUUAUCCGGAAUUACUGGGCGUAAAGGGUGCGUAGGGGGUUUCUUAAGUCAGAGGUGAAAGGCUACGGCUCA